rnacentral:lncRNA from 1 species
CAUUGAGUGGGCCGUCUAAAGGGUGCUCAGAGAAAAAGUCUGCUAUUUGGUUUGUAAUUGCGGCCCUAGGCUUGAUGGGAGACGGUACCAGGAACUCAUCGCUAAGUUCCUCUUGCCUAAAAAGACAACUGUGAGCCUUGGUAACUUUGAUGUCAAGGCGAGAGAACAGGAAGAAGGAAAUAACAGCAAAACUGGCAAGGAAAGCAAUGUGAGGCUGAGACUGACAGAAAUGUGGAGGUGGAUAUGAUCAGCCAGGGGCAAGUUUUGGACGCUUGGAUUUGCCGCAACCAGGAUAAUUAGUCAAAAGCUUCCUGGCAGCCAGAAUUAGUUUUCCCAGGUGCAUUACUUUCUUUUGGCUUCAGCUGCCUUUUUUUUUUUAAUCAUUCUCUCUCUCAGUAUCAUGAAAUAUCUUAUAAUUCCUCCUGUUCUACUUUAAAUUUAGAUAUCCUUGUUUUGUCUGUCCACAUUUCCCAUUAUGAGC